rnacentral:rRNA from 1 species
CACACGACUCUCGGCAACGGAUAUCUCGGCUCUCGCAUCGAUGAAGAACGUAGCGAAAUGCGAUACCUGGUGUGAAUUGCAGAAUCCCGCGAACCAUCGAGUCUUUGAACGCAAGUUGCGCCCGAGGCCACCCGGCUGAGGGCACGUCUGCCUGGGCGUCACGC